rnacentral:rRNA from 1 species
AGUGAACGCUGGCGGUAGGCCUAACACAUGCAAGUCGAACGGCAGCACAGUAAGAGCUUGCUCUUACGGGUGGCGAGUGGCGGACGGGUGAGGAAUACAUCGGAAUCUACUUUUUUGUGGGGGAUAACGUAGGGAAACUGACGCUAAUACCGCAUACGAACUACGGGUGAAAGCAGGGGAUCUUCGGACGUGGCGCGAGCGAACGAGACGACGUCGAAUUAGCUAGUUGGCGGGGUAAAGGCCCACCAAGGCGACGAUCCGUAGCGGGUCUGAGAGGAUGAUCGGCCACACUGGAACUGAGACACGGCCCAGACUCCUACGGGAGGCAGCAGUGGGGAAUCUUGGGCAAUGGGCGCAAGCCUGACCCAGCCAUGCCGCGUGAGUGAAGAAGGCCUUCGGAUUGUAAAGCCCUUUUGUUGGGGAAGAAAAGCGGCAGGUUAAUCCCCCGCUGUUGUGACGGUACCCAACGAAUAAGCACCGGCUAACUUCGUG